GUGGAGGUGAUGAUUAUUUCCCCAGAUGAUCGACGCUGAUUAAACUGUGCGAACUCUAUUUUCUCUCUUCUGAGAAAUCCAAGCCAGGUGUCUGAUCCAU